rnacentral:rRNA from 1 species
CCUAACACAUGCAAGUCGAACGUGAAAGGGAGCAAUCCUGAGUAAAGUGGCGUACGGGUGAGUAACGCGUAGGUAAUCUACCCCAAAGUUUGGAAUAACCUGCCGAAAGGCGGGCUAACAGAUGGAAGGAGCGAUGGAAUCCGUAAUUGGGUUUUUCGGGAAAGGGAGGAAGCAAUUCCCUUCGCUUUGGGAUGAGCCUGCGUCUACGGGAGCUAGUUGGUGGGGUAAUGGCCUACCAAGGACGGGGAUGGGUAGCUGGUCUGAGAGGAUGAUCCGCCACACUGGAACUGAAACCGAGUCCCGACUCCUACGGGAGGCCGCCGUGGGGAAUCUUGCGCAAUGGACGAAAGUCUGACGCCGCCACGCCGCGUGAGUGAAGAAGGCCUUCGGGUUGUAAAGCUCUGUCGAGCGGGACGAAAAUCUUUACCGUGAAUAGCUGGUAGGACUGACGGUACCGCUAAAGGAAGCACCGGCUAACUCCGUGCCCGCCGCCGCGGUAAUACGGAGGGUGCAAGCGUUGCUCGGAAUUUAUGGGCGUAAAGGGUAGGUAGGUGGUCUACGGGUGUCUGGGGUGAUUCAAAUCGAGCGGGGCUCAAGAAGUGCCCCCGAAACGGUGAGACUGGAGUCCUGGAGAGGGUCGUGGAAUUCCCGGUGUAGCGGUGAAAUGCGUAGAGAUCGGGAGGAACACCCGAGGCGAAAGCGGCGACCUGGACAGGUACUGACACUCAACUACGAAAGCGUGGGGAGCAAACCGGAUUAGAA